rnacentral:rRNA from 1 species
CCCGCACAAGCAGCGGAGCGUGUGGUUUAAUUCGAUGCAACGCGAAGAACCUUACCAGGGUUUGACAUGCUUAAAGUAGGAACUCGAAAGAGGGACGACCUGUAUCCAGUCAGGAGUUUGCACAGGUGCUGCAUGGCUGUCGUCAGCUCGUGCCGUGAGGUGUUAGGUUAAGUCCUGCAACGAGCGCAACCCUCGUCGCUAGUUGUUUUCUCUAGCGAUACUGCCCGUAUAACGUGGAGGAAGGUGGGGAUGACGUCAAGUCAGCAUGGCCUUUAUAUCCUGGGCUACACACACGCUACAAUGGCCAACACAAUAGGUUGCUAAGCCGCGAGGUGGCGCCAAUCCAUAAAGUUGGUCUCAGUUCAGAUUGUAGGCUGCAACCCGCCUGCAUGAAGAUGGAGUUGCUAGUAACCGCAGGUCAGCUAUACUGCGGUGAAUACGUUCCCGGGGCUU